UACGUAGGGGGCUAGCGUUAUCCGGAUUUAUUGGGCGUAAAGAGCAUGUAGGCGGCCAGGUAGGUCUGCUGUGAAAACUCGAGGCUCAACCUCGAGACGUCGGCGGAAACCAUCUGGCUAGAGUCCGGAAGAGGAGAGUGGAAUUCCUGGUGUAGCGGUGAAAUGCGCAGAUAUCAGGAAGAACACCCGUGGCGAAGGCGGCUCUCUGGGACGGUACUGACGCUGAGACGCGAAAGCGUGGGGAGCGAACAGG
rnacentral:rRNA from 1 species